rnacentral:lncRNA from 12 species
GUGAAAAGUUUCUUUGAUAGUUGCUAUUUUUCUUUUAUUUCUUACUUUCUCUUUGGGUUGCAGUUUCAGAAGUAUAAUCCACGAUUAAUAAGGAAGUAGAGGAAAUAAACUUUCUGGGAUUGUAAAUCAUUUUUUACUAAUACUAGUCUAAUCCUAUAAUAGAAAUAACGUUAAGUAUAUGCUAUAUAUGCAGUCAUUGAGUGACCUAAGAAAAUGUAGAUAGAAAUUCUCAUUUAACAGUUUUGACAAUUCAUUUGCAUUUAACUCAAAUCUUUGUACAACUUGUUUUUGUAGGAGUAAAGACUGUUUUUUUUUCCUGAUUAUUAGUUUUUUAAUACAUGCAGAGGAAUAUUACCAGUAAGAGCUUCCUUUCAACUCCUUAUGCUGGAGGUAUCAUGCAUCAAUAAUUUCAUAUUUGUUUCUAUGAAAACCAAGGAGAUUGGAACGUGUAAAGAUAAAGAGGAACUAGA